rnacentral:rRNA from 1 species
AACGAACGCUGGCGGCAUGCCUAACACAUGCAAGUCGAACGAGACCUUCGGGUCUAGUGGCGCACGGGUGCGUAACGCGUGGGAACCUGCCCUUAGGUUCGGAAUAACUCCCCGAAAGGGGUGCUAAUACCGGAUAAUGUCUUCGGACCAAAGAUUUAUCGCCUUUGGAUGGGCCCGCGUUGGAUUAGCUAGUUGGUAGGGUAAAAGCCUACCAAGGCGACGAUCCAUAGCUGGUCUGAGAGGAUGAUCAGCCACACUUGGACUGAGACACGGCCCAGACUCCUACGGGAGGCAGCAGUGGGGAAUAUUGGACAAUGGGCGAAAGCCUGAUCCAGCAAUGCCGGGUGAGUGAUGAAGGCCUUAGGGUUGUAAAGCUCUUUUACCCGGGAUGAUAAUGACAGUACCGGGAGAAUAAGCUCCGGCUAACUCCGUG